GCUCCAAUAGCGUAUAUUAAAGUUGUUGCAGUUAAAAAGCUCGUAGUUGGACUUCUGGAUGCGAUGGCCGGUCCGCAGCAAGUCUGUGUGUACUAGUGUUGCAUCCGGCCAUAUUUGCGGAGAGCGUGUGUGGCAUUAAGUUGUCGUGCUCGGGACCGCAUCGUUUACUGUGAGAAAAUUAGAGUGUUCAAAGCAGGCUU
rnacentral:rRNA from 1 species